GGAGGGAUAGAGUGUACUGGUGGUGACGAGUUUAAAGGUUACUGUUGUAUGGAGGGAUAGAGUGUACUGGUGGUGACGAGGUUAAAGGUUACUGGUGUAUGGAGGGAUAGAGUGUACUGGUGGUGACGAGGUUAAAGGUUACUGUUGUAUGGAGGGAUAGAGUGUACUGGUGGUGACGAGGUUAAAGGUU
rnacentral:lncRNA from 1 species